ensembl:lncRNA TCP10L3 t-complex 10 like 3 (pseudogene)
AGAAAGUCCGUUGGAACCGUCGGCUGCUCUCUGGUCUCUGGAGAUGAGGCGGGAGGACUUGGGGACAGCUGUGGGGACACGGCCCAGAUGCUCUGGUCCCAGCAGAAGUGACUGGCGGGGACCAGGAUGCUGGAGGGUCAGCUCGAGGCCGGGUAGCCCAAGGAGGGCACCCACCCAGAAGACCCGUGCCCGGGAGCUGGGGCUGCCAUGGAGAAGACACCUGCAGCAGCCGAGGUCCCCAGGGAGGACAGCAAUGCCGGGGAGAUGCCGUCAUUACAGCAGCAGAUCACCAGCCUCCACCAAGAGCUCGGGAGACAGCAGUCGCUGUGGGCUGAUAUUCACAGAAAACUCCAGAGUCAUAUGGAUGCCUUGAGGAAGCAGAACCGGGAGCUCCGAGAAGAGCUGAGAGGCCUGCAGCGGCAGCAGUGGGAAGCCGGGAAGAAACCCGCAGCGUCCCCACACGCGGGGCGAGAAUCACACACUCUGGCAUUGGAACCUGCUUUUGGAAAAAUUUCACAUCUGUCAGCUGAUGAAGACACAACGCCCAAAUACGCUGGCCGCAAGAGUCAGAGUGCCACUCUCCUGGGACAAAGAUGGUCAUCUAACCACUUAGCUCCUCCAAAGGUGACCCUUCGUGCUUAUCGUCUGUAAAGAGCAGCAGAGCUUCUGUACCCAAACACACACAUCCCAUCAGCUCCUCACCACACAGUUUCACCUCCCUGGGGGAGCAUGGUGCUCCCUGGAGUCCUGCGUUUUUCCAAGGACAUGGGUGCAUGCCUUUCAAACAAGAUCCUAAACCACAGCACUUCCUGCUGUAGGGCAGAUUCCAAGUCCUGCCAGCUGCUUCCCUCUGAGCUCACUCACGGCAGCAAAUGUCUGGCUGGGGCCGAGUGGACUCGGGGGCUUUGUUUCCGUGGGUGCCACCCACGGAGGUGAUAUGUGUGGCGCUCUCGCCACAUGCCAUGGCCCGUGCGUCUGGGGGCUCGCAGCCUCCCACGAUCCCUGCUUCUGCACUGCGGUCUUGCACCUGCUGCUUGUCAGCGUGGACUCCUCUGAACAGGGGCUGUGCCGCUUGCUUGGGGGCCACAGUGCAGGAUGCUAUUUUGUCUCCAACACAUUUUUCCUUGUUAAAAUUAGCUCCUCUUUAGAACCUUCUGCUGGCCAGUGUGUCUCUUCCCAUCCCAGCUUUGUGUCACCCUCACACUCGGGAGGCAAAUCUCGUGAGUCCUGAGCCAGCAACUGAUACUGGGUCGAUGUGGAUGGAGAAGACUGCCCCCCCAACUCCUGAAGAUGAUUUAUCCCCUCGCUUCUUUCCCAAAGCAACUGCUGAGCAGAUAACACUUUAUUCCCUGAAGGAAGAUCAGAAAUCUACUCCAAGCAUUUGUCACAAGUAGGAAAAUAGUCCUUUCAGAUCCUAUGAGUACAAAACAUCGAAAGUCCCAGGACGUACUGCAUAGGUCCAGCCUCCUGUGAGACACGGACUUCUCUCACGCUUCUGCAUUGACCUGAGUUAAUCACACGCGUGCUGGACAAUGUACGAGUAAAUAGAUAACUGAAUGGGUGGCUUAUCCACGCCUCCAAACCCUGAAUUUUUAAGCAGCAGAAAAGGUAGAACAUUAUUUUCAUUAUGCAUUUUUGAAUUGAGUUUCAAGUACUUUAUUUCACUGUUGACUAUUCUACAACGUCAGCCAUACCGUCCCUGAAUUCCUCAAGAGCGUGGCUGUAAAAUGGGGAAUGAGAGCGUGGAUGCCUCAUGUGUCCUUCUGUAGGAAGCGGGGGUAGAAUCCUCUAGAUUCUGUGGCAGCUGGUGUGAUGUGUUGCUCAACAUUUUAAAAUAAUAUGAUGGUUAUUAAUGCAACCACAUUUAUUUUCAGCCAAUGAGUUUAAAGACAGAAAGAAUUAACUCGGGGAAAACACCACCACAGGAAGAUAGAGAGAAAAGUCCUCCCGGGAGACGUCAAGACAGAAGUCCAGCACCCACUGGAAGGCCGACUCCCGGUGCAGAAAGACGGGGGGUGUCUGAAGACGGAAAGAUUAUGCAUCCAUCUUCCCGAAGUCCGCAAAACUCCGGUGGCAGAAAAUCACCAGUGCAGGCUUCCCAGGCCACCACGCUGCAGGAGCAGACGGCAGCAGCCAGAGGAGCUGACAGAAGCUCAUCAGUCUUAGGGAGUUCUGAAGGCGGAUUUCUCAGCCGCGUUCAAGCUGACGAGUUCGCCAGUUCUGCCCCAGACAGUGCAGAGCGGCAGGUAGGUGGCUGAGUGGCUUCUGUGAGGGCGGCCCACCCGGUUCCCCUCAGGGAGACCUGAGAAGGUGACCUUUUCGUCCUGGGGAAGUGAGAUUCGGAGCCGGUGUCAUGAGAUGGUUGCAUCUUCCCAUCUUCUCAACAAGAACAGAAAAUUAAGAUGAUUCCAAAUGUCUCUUUAUUUCCUGAAGUUCAGCCUUUCAAACAGAGACUUUUUUUUAUAGAUUUAAGUUGGUUGCAUUUAGCACAAACAAGAUUAAUGUUUUUUAUGACUUAAGAGUUCCCCUAGUCAGAGUUUCAUUUUUUAUCAUUUUGAUUUACAGUUCUCAGUUGACAUUAAUAGACUCGAAGGCAAGAAUAGCAAACAUACUUCUAAGCCCUAGCUAGGGGCCGACUUGUAACAUGCUAUAUUUUACAAAAAAAAAAAGUCAAUAAAAUAAAAUUAUUUUCUCUACGCCAGGAAAUUUGGGCUGUGAACUUACGUAUGAUGUAAAACUAGGCACCUGGCGGGGAAGUCUCAGAACACAGGUCCCGCUUGUUUUCUGUUCUCCUGCGAAAAGCCCACAUUCUGUUCUGCCCUCUCCGACGUCUUCAGUGGGGGGACGAGUGGGAAUAUUUUUCUUGGGAUUUUAUUUUGUUUGGGGAUCCAGCUAAUGAGUUCACCUGGAAGCCUCCGGGCUAAUGAUCUACAUUGAGAAGCAGUGCAGCAGCCAUGGCAGGUGGUGUCUCUGUGUGGUGUUUGUAUCAGGUGUUAAAUGUGGCAGUUGUCAUUGUGGCCACCCUGACUCCAGACCAAACAUACAAGUGGGAGAUAAGCACUUUAAUAAAACACAAAACAUGGUCCAAAGUCCCGGUGCUGACUGUCCGGGGCUCAGCCGCGCCCACUGACUUAGAGGCAGAGGCUGCAAAAUGCCAGGGCAAGGUGCAUUUCUCCCACCUCAUACUGCAGUGUUCAUGGAGACCACGGGAGAUUAGGAUUAUGCUCUUUCUGCAGAAUCUUCCUGUAAACCCACCAUCUUCCCUGGAAAUAGCACAGGCCAUGGACACUAAGAUGAAAAAGGAGGAAGUACAGGAAGAAAAACGACAUCCAAAGGGCAAGGCAGAUGACUGCCGGCGGUCCGGUUUCCCGAGUGAAUUUCCAGGAGCUCUGCACGCCGCUCCCUCCAGACAGGACAUGGGGCCCUGACCUGGAGGCCAGGCGUUUCUAGCAUUGUUGACUGCCAGUUUAUUCCCAGUAAAUAAAGCAAUACGCUUUUCAGGAGGAAGAUUUGUUUUAAAUACUUAAAAAAAAACCCAAAACUAUAGCCUCAAAUAUCUUCCAGCCACCACAUUUUAGCCCUUGAGGAGAGCUCAGUUCCGGAAGGACGCGUCAAGGUGGCGGUGGUCG